rnacentral:misc_RNA from 1 species
GUGAGUCAUCGAAUCUUUGAACGCACAUUGCGCCCUGUGGUAUUCCGCAGGGCAUGCCUGUUCGAGCGUCAGUACAACACUCAAGCUCAGCUUGGUCUUGAGCCCAGCCGGUCACGGCGGGCUUUAAAACUAGUGGCGGCGCCCCCUGGCUCUUAGCGUAGUAAUACCCCUCGCUACUGGGCCCAGGCGGACGCUGGCCAGCAACCCCCAACUCUCUAAGUUUGACCUCGGAUUAGGUAGGGAUACCCGCUGAACUUAAGCAUAUCAAUAAGCGGAGGA